UACAGAGGUCUCAAGCGUUGUUCGGAAUCACUGGGCGUAAAGGGUGCGUAGGCUGCACGGUAAGUCAGAGGUGAAAUCCCGGGGCUCAACCCCGGAAUUGCCUCCGAUACUGCCGUGCUUGAGGACUGGAGAGGAGAUUGGAAUUCACAGUGGAGCAGUGAAAUGCGUAGAUAUUGUGAGGAACACUAGUGGCGAAGGCGAAUCUCUGGACAGUUCCUGACGCUGAGGCACGAAGGCCAGGGGAGCAAACGGG
rnacentral:rRNA from 1 species